rnacentral:rRNA from 1 species
CCUACGGGUGGCAGCAGUGGGGAAUAUUGGACAAUGGGGGGAACCCUGAUCCAGCCAUGCCGCGUGUGUGAAGAAGGCCCUCGGGUUGUAAAGCACUUUCAGUGAGGAAGAACGCCUGGUGGUUAAUACCCAUCAGGAAAGACAUCACUCACAGAAGAAGCACCGGCUAACUCCGUGCCAGCAGCCGCGGUAAUACGGAGGGUGCGAGCGUUAAUCGGAAUUACUGGGCGUAAAGCGCGCGUAGGUGGCUUGAUAAGCCGGUUGUGAAAGCCCCGGGCUCAACCUGGGAACGGCAUCCGGAACUGUCAAGCUAGAGUGCAGGAGAGGAAGGUAGAAUUCCCGGUGUAGCGGUGAAAUGCGUAGAGAUCGGGAGGAAUACCAGUGGAGAAGGCGGCCUUCUGGACUGACACUGACACUGAGGUGCGAAAGCGUGGGUAGCAAACAGGAUUAGAUACCCGAGUAGUC